CCGAUGUUUUUGCUUCUCGUUUUCAUUUGCUUAACCUUAAGUUAAGCGGGAAAGAUCUAAUAGUUGCGAAUGUGGUCUGUCCGAAAACUAAUUAAUUAGCCUUCCUACACAGUAUGGUCCAUGGUGCUUGACAAGAAAAAGCCAUUUUAAUUGUCUAGACUGAGAGUCUGUCCACGUAAAUUUUCAUCGUUCCUCGAUGCCAUAUUGUAAAACCCUAUCAGUCUGUUAUCCACGAGUUCCCUGUCAGCAAACAUCCACCCAUCCACUAUAGUCUUACAAGGUUUGAAGCAGCAAGGAGAUAUGUUCGUAAAGACUGUCCAUCACAGACCAACACUAAGAGGUCCACAUAAUUUUUCAUCGUUCCUCAAUGCCAUAUUGUAAAAUCCUAUGAGUGAGUUCCCCGUCAGCAAACAUCCGCCCAUCCACUAUAUAGUCUUUUACUCUUUCGGCUCACACUCCUCACAGCAGCAAGGAGAUAUGUUUGUAAAGACUGUCCAACACAGACUAACACCCACUAACGAUUUAAUGUGUGCCUAAGAUUCUAACUGGUGGUCAACAAAUCUAUUUAAACAUCCUGAAACAGUAUGAACCAAUUUCUGGUAUUUUUAAAUCAGAUCUUUCUGCUGUCAUUGUCUUCAACGAUGGGAGGCACAUUCUCUAUUAAGACUACUAUAAAGUAUUAUUCUGGAUUGCCUGCCGGAUCUACCCAUCCACUAUGGUUAUUCGAGUAAUUGCAGUAAAGACUGUUGCUACAGAGACAGAAAAAACCGGACCGGUACAUAAUGAUUCUACCCUCAAAAUGGAUUCUAAGAUGUCGAGUCAGUUGGACAGUUUCGUGUUUCGUCGCGAUUUUAUCAUUGGCCAAUAAAGUUGAUGGUAGUAAUGCUAGAUAGCAUAAAUCUGAUAAUGUGACAGACAAUAUAGAAAUGCAGUCAUACUAGGGCAGGCAAGAAAUGGUUUCGGUAAACUGACUGAACUCCAAUAGGGUUCUCCGGCUGAUCACGAACUCAUUUAUGGACGACUACAGAUAAAGCCAGACAAGUCAAGCUAUCGGAUUCCAGAUUUUUCCCACAAUUACCUCGUUUAUUUGGGCCUCACUUAGUGGUGUUUUUCAAGGAUCGGCGGUCGGCCAUGAGUGAUGUAGACACCGUUCCGGUAAACAUGUGGUCAUGCAGAUGCAGUUUCUUUAUAUUUUCUGCCAGAAACCAAUCUUUAAGCUGUCACUACCUAUAGGAUUGAUUCCUCCAAAAUGUUUAAUUCGGUUUGAUAUGCUUAUGCACAACCUGAAAUCAGCCGCCGAUGCAACGCUCUUAUCAUAAUUGUUUUUAAAGCCCCAGAACGGAGAUCCGGGAAUUCAUUUGUUCGUGACAGGAGAGUGACUGCCACUUGGAAUCUGCAGCAUUAGUAUUUUCGCAACGGAGGACAACUACAAGAUAUGGAGCAGUCUACAGCAAACGCAUUAUAAUCACCAAGCUCAAGAAGUGAUGACGACGAAAUUGGAAUUAGCAGAGCAAGAGGCCAACGAUUUUACGACCAUGAAUCAACAAGGAUAUGCCGUCAUUUGCUAUGAGGAUGGAGCAGCCAUGAGUUUCGAGACCCCACCGGACGUGAAGUUCAUCAGAUGGUGAUGAACCUACGAUGGAGGAUGACGUAAUCAACUAAUGGAGUUCACUCGAAGCUAAGGUUGCAGAGAAAUAUUUAAAAAAUAGCCGACUGCUGUCCUUCAAACGGUUC